rnacentral:lncRNA from 1 species
UGGCAUGUCAGUAUUCUUUUGAAUUUAUGAUCAUAUUAUCCAGUACUCACAACAGGUACCAGCUCAUGGGUUAUCUAGUGGUCCCUCAUGACCGUAAGCACCAUGUAACGCCCAGGGUGUGCUCUCGGGGCAUUACAAACUUGGUAUUAGAUCCUAAGGUUUUAAAGUGUCCUAAGAAGUCUAAAAACCAUGUCAAGUAGAGUCUUGUGCAUAGGUGUGUACCGCUCCACACUUAUAGGUAGGAGGCUACAAGGUAUUUUGGAAAAGUUUCCCUUCUUUCAGUAUUCAUGUCAUGCGAGUAAUCAUGAGCUCAAUUUAAAAUCCCUAUCUAAUCCAUUUAUUCUUUUCGUGUAUAGAACAUUCCUCC